rnacentral:rRNA from 1 species
ACGCUGGCGGCAGGCCUAACACAUGCAAGUCGAGCGGUAGAGAGAAGCUUGCUUCUCUUGAGAGCGGCGGACGGGUGAGUAAUGCCUAGGAAUCUGCCUGGUAGUGGGGGAUAACGUUCGGAAACGGACGCUAAUACCGCAUACGUCCUACGGGAGAAAGCAGGGGACCUUCGGGCCUUGCGCUAUCAGAUGAGCCUAGGUCGGAUUAGCUAGUUGGUGGGGUAAUGGCUCACCAAGGCGACGAUCUGUAACUGGUCUGAGAGGAUGAUCAGUCACACUGGAACUGAGACUCGGUCCAGACUCCUACGGGAGGCAGCAGUGGGGAAUAUUGGACAAUGGGCGAAAGCCUGAUCCAGCCAUGCCGCGUGUGUGAAGAAGGUCUUCGGAUUGUAAAGCACUUUAAGUUGGGAGGAAGGGCAGUUACCUAAUACGUGAUUGUUUUGACGUUACCGACAGAAUAAGCACCGGCUAACUCUGUGCCAGCAGCCGCGGUAAUACAGAGGGUGCAAGCGUUAAUCGGAAUUACUGGGCGUAAAGCGCGCGUAGGUGGUUCGUUAAGUUGGAUGUGAAAUCCCCGGGCUCAACCUGGGAACUGCAUUCAAAACUGACGAGCUAGAGUAUGGUAGAGGGUGGUGGAAUUUCCUGUGUAGCGGUGAAAUGCGUAGAUAUAGGAAGGAACACCAGUGGCGAAGGCGAC